CGCGCGUGCGUGGCGCGGGCUUCGGAGGGAGCACGUCACUUCCUGUUACCUUAGGGGAACGUGGCUUUCCCCGCAGAGCCGGUGCCUUCGUCUGCGUCCCCGCUGCAGCAACCAGAGCUGGAGUCGGAUCCCGAACGCACCCUCGCCAUGGACUCGGCCAUCAGCGAUCCGCAUAAUGGCAGCGCCGAGGCAGGCGGCCCCACCAACGGCACGACGCGGCCUCCUUCCACGCCCGAGGGCAUCGCGCUGGCCUACGGAAGCCUCCUGCUCAUGGCGCUGCUGCCCAUCUUCUUCGGCGCCCUGCGCUCAGUACGCUGCGCCCGCGGCAAGAAUGCUUCGGACAUGCCUGAAACGAUCACCAGCCGGGAUGCCGCCCGCUUCCCCAUCAUCGCCAGCUGCACACUCCUGGGGCUCUACCUCUUUUUCAAAGUUUAUUUUCCCAAUAAAAGUUACACAGGCUCAGUGUUGAAAACCUGGAAAACACAGAAAAGUAAAAAGGGGAAAACAGCAGUCAUCCAAAACCCCACUACCAGAGACAGUCACAGUUUCCCUUCGGAGAUAUUCUCCCAGGAGUACAUCAACCUCUUGCUGUCCAUGUAUUUCUUCGUGCUGGGAAUCCUGGCCCUGUCCCACACCAUCAGCCCCUUCAUGAAUAAGUUUUUUCCAGCCAGCUUUCCAAAUCGACAGUACCAGCUGCUCUUCACACAGGGUUCUGGGGAAAACAAGGAAGAAAUCGUCAAUUAUGAAUUUGACACCAAGGACCUGGUAUGCCUGGGCCUGAGCAGCAUCGUUGGCGUCUGGUACCUGCUGAGGAAGCACUGGAUUGCCAACAACCUUUUUGGCCUGGCCUUCUCCCUUAAUGGAGUAGAGCUCCUGCACCUCAACAAUGUCAGCACUGGCUGCAUCCUGCUGGGCGGACUCUUCAUCUAUGAUGUCUUCUGGGUAUUUGGCACCAAUGUGAUGGUGACAGUGGCCAAGUCCUUCGAGGCACCAAUAAAAUUGGUGUUUCCUCAGGAUCUGCUGGAGAAAGGCCUCGAAGCGGACAACUUUGCCAUGCUGGGACUUGGAGAUAUUGUGAUUCCAGGGAUCUUCAUUGCCUUGCUGCUGCGUUUUGACAUCAGCUUGAAGAAGAAUACCCAUACCUACUUCUACACCAGCUUUGCCGCCUACAUCUUUGGCCUGGGCCUUACCAUCUUCAUCAUGCACAUCUUCAAGCAUGCCCAGCCCGCCCUCCUGUACCUGGUCCCCACCUGCAUCGGUUUUCCUGUCCUGGUGGCGCUGGCCAAGGGAGAAGUGACAGAGAUGUUCAGCUACGAGUCCUCGGCGGAAAUCCUGCCUCAUACCCCGAGGCUCACCCACUUCCCCACAGUCUCGGGCUCCCCAGCCAGCCUGGCCGACUCCAUGCAGCAGAAGCUAGCUGGCCCUCGCCGCCGGCGCCCGCAGAAUCCCAGCGCCAUGUAAUGCCCAGCGGGUGCCCACCUGCCCGCUUCCCCCUACUGCCCCGGGGCCCAAGUUAUGAGGAGUCAAAUCCAAAGGAUCCAGCGGCAGUGACAGAAUCCAAAGAGGGAACAGAGGCAUCAGCGUCGAAGGGGCUGGAGAAGAAAGAGAAAUGAUGCGGCUGGUGCCCAAGCCUCUCAGGGCCAGACCAGACAGAUGGGGGCCGGGCCCACACAGGCGUGCAUGGGCAGAGGGCACAGGAGGCCGAGGGCAGCCCCAGGACAAGCCAGGGGACAGCAGGAUACCUCCAGCCAGGCCUCUGUGGCCUCUGUUUCCCUCUCCCUCUCCCUGGCCCUCCUCUGCUCCUCCCCACUCCCUGCAGGCAAAAGAAGCCCCCAGCUUCACCCAUCCCUGGGAGCCCGGUGGGAAAAGUGGGUGUGAUUUUUAGAUUUUGUAUUGUGGACUGAUUUUGCCUCACAUUAAAAACUCAUCCCAUGGCCAGGGCGGGCCACUGUGCUCCUG